rnacentral:tRNA from 1 species
GGGGCGGUGGCGGAAGGGCAGACGCAUUGGUCUUAAAAACCAAGGGACUUGAUCGUCCGUGUGGGUUCUGAAUCCCACUCGCCCCA